AGGGUUUUAAAAUGGUCCAAUGAUGUGCCAAAUCUAAUAAAAAAAUCUAUAAAAAUAAGGAUCUAGCCCUACUGUUGUUAAACAAAAUCAGCUUCACAAUGAAAGCAUUGAGCCUUACUAGAGAGUAGUGUGUGUUUCAAAUGUUGUGAGGAUAUCAGGGACUCUAAGGACGCUCUUAAAAUGGGGCAGCUUGGUGGGAAUUCUCCUACAUUGGCCUUGGAGCUGGGAAGAUCUGCUUUCAAAUCUUGCCUCACUAGCUGUAUGAGCCUGAGCAGAUGACUUAAUCUCUGUGUGCUUCAGAAGGAGGUAAGGCUUGAUGACAUGUAAGGUCUCUUCAUACUCUAAAUCUAUGACAACCUUCUGAUCACCAUCCUCUGGCUGCCUUGGAGUCGUUUGCUGGCAGGAGGAGUGAGUAGACUGGCUCACAGCAUUCUGUUUCAGUUAGACCACAUGGGAACCACUCUGUCCAGUUCUAGGUUUCACAUUUUAUGUCAGUCCUUGAUAAAAUAGUUUCUGAGGUGCAUUCUUUCCCAAGAUUGGGGCAACGUGUCAUUGAAGGAAAAACUGUUCAGGCCUCACAUGGUAGAGGCGGGCGUACGGAAGGAUCAAGGUUUACAAAUGAUUCACAUCUAGUACCUCUGUUGAUCCUGAGAGCAAUCCCACAAUGUUCACCUUACAAAUAUUGCUAUCCCCACUUUAUAGAUGAAGAAAUUGAGCUUUAAAGAUUUGUUACGAAUUUCCAAAAGUAACAUGACUAGUAAGUAUCAAAUUGGAACUUGAAUUUAGGUCUCACUGUUAUGAAUUUAUGUUGCCUGUUAUUUCCUAUGCAUGUGUUCUCUGAAUAUUCCUUUGACUGCUUUCCCUUGGUUCCACUUAUAAACUUUGAAGUAGUAUGUUCAUACUAGGACCAAAAAGUUGUAUGGAGAUACUAGUGAUAAAACUUUUAUGUUCUAACACUGAGGAGAAGUCAGAUGUAAAGACAUAAUAUGAUGAAUAAAGAAAGUUUGGUGAGAACA
rnacentral:lncRNA from 1 species